rnacentral:misc_RNA from 1 species
GGUGACCUGCGGAAGGAUCAUUACCGAGUGCAGGUCUGCCCCCGGGCAGGCCUAACCUCCCACCCGUGAAUACCUGACCAACGUUGCUUCGGCGGUGCGCCCCCCCGGGGGUAGCCGCCGGAGACCACAUUGAACCUCUUGUCUUUAGUGUUGUCUGAGCUUGAUAGCAAACCUAUUAAAACUUUCAACAAUGGAUCUCUUGGUUCCGGCAUCGAUGAAGAACGCAGCGAACUGCGAUAAGUAAUGUGAAUUGCAGAAUUCAGUGAAUCAUCGAGUCUUUGAACGCACAUUGCGCCCCCUGGCAUUCCGGGGGGCAUGCCUGUCCGAGCGUCAUUGCUGCCCUUCAAGCCCGGCUUGUGUGUUGGGUCGUCGUCCCCCCCGGGGGACGGGCCCGAAAGGCAGCGGCGGCACCGCGUCCGGUCCUCGAGCGUAUGGGGCUUUGUCACCCGCUCGAUUAGGGCCGGCCGGGCGCCAGCCGGCGUCUCCAACCUUCUAUUUUACCAGGUUGACCUCGGAUCAGGUAGGGAUACCCGCUGAACUUAAGCAUAUCAAUA